rnacentral:rRNA from 1 species
CUGGUUGAUUCUGCCAGUUGUCACAUGCUUGUCUCAAAGAUUAAGCCAUGCAUGUCUAAGUACACACUGUGGCACAGUGAAACCGCGAAUGGCUCAUUAAAUCAGUUAUGGUUUAUUAGAUCGUGCGUUCUACGUGGAUAACUGUGGUAAUUCUAGAGCUAAUACAUGCAACUGGCCCUAACUUUACGGAGGGGCGCUUUUAUUAGAUCAAAAUCAAUCAGGUUUCGGCCUGUUUUUGUGAUGACUCUGGAUAACUUUGUGCCGACCGCAUGGCCUUGCGCCGGCGGCGUAUCUUUCAAAUGUCUGCCCUAUCAACUUUCGAUGGUAGGUGACAUGCCUACCAUGGUUGUAACGGGUAACGGAGAAUCAGGGUUCGAUUCCGGAGAGGGAGCCUGAGAAACGGCUACCACAUCCAAGGAAGGCAGCAGGCGCGCAAAUUACCCACUCCCGGCACGGGGAGGUAGUGACGAAAAAUAACAAUGCUGAAAUUCAAUUUCGGUAAUUGGAAUGAGUACACUUUAAAUCCUUUAACGAGGAUCUAGUGGAGGGCAAGUCUGGUGCCAGCAGCCGCGGUAAU